AACGCACUCUCGUUAGAUUGAAGAAGCUUGCUUCUGAUUGAUAACAUUUGAGUGAGUGGCGGACGGGUGAGUAACACGUGGGUAACCUGCCCUAAAGUGGGGGAUAACAUUUGGAAACAGAUGCUAAUACCGCAUAAAACCUAGCACCGCAUGGUGCAAGGUUGAAAGAUGGUUUCGGCUAUCACUUUAGGAUGGACCCGCGGUGCAUUAGUUAGUUGGUGAGGUAAAGGCUCACCAAGACCGUGAUGCAUAGCCGACCUGAGAGGGUAAUCGGCCACACUGGGACUGAGACACGGCCCAGACUCCUACGGGAGGCAGCAGUAGGGAAUCUUCCACAAUGGACGAAAGUCUGAUGGAGCAACGCCGCGUGAGUGAAGAAGGUUUUCGGAUCGUAAAACUCUGUUGUUGGAGAAGAACGUAUUUGAUAGUAACUGAUCAGGUAGUGACGGUAUCCAACCAGAAAGCCACGGCUAACUACGUGCCAGCAGCCGCGGUAAUACGUAGGUGGCAAGCGUUGUCCGGAUUUAUUGGGCGUAAAGCGAGCGCAGGCGGUUUCUUAAGUCUGAUGUGAAAGCCUUCGGCUCAACCGAAGAAGUGCAUCGGAAACUGGGAAACUUGAGUGCAGAAGAGGACAGUGGAACUCCAUGUGUAGCGGUGAAAUGCGUAGAUAUAUGGAAGAACACCAGUGGCGAAGGCGGCUGUCUGGUCUGUAACUGACGCUGAGGCUCGAAAGCAUGGGUAGCAAACAGGAUUAGAUACCCUGGUAGUCCAUGCCGUAAACGAUGAGUGCUAGGUGUUGGAGGGUUUCCGCCCUUCAGUGCCGCAGCUAACGCAUUAAGCACUCCGCCUGGGGAGUACGACCGCAAGGUUGAAACUCAAAGGAAUUGACGGGGGCCCGCACAAGCGGUGGAGCAUGUGGUUUAAUUCGAAGCAACGCGAAGAACCUUACCAGGUCUUGACAUCCUUUGACCACUCUAGAGAUAGAGCUUUCCCUUCGGGGACAAAGUGACAGGUGGUGCAUGGUUGUCGUCAGCUCGUGUCGUGAGAUGUUGGGUUAAGUCCCGCAACGA
rnacentral:rRNA from 1 species